AACAAUACAACGACGACUGUUUAUAUAUUUAUUAAAAAUGGAUAUUACGCCGAAAUCGAAGAAGGCUAUGAGUAAAGACGAGGUUGAUCAAUUAUAACCAGUAAGGAGACUAAUGCUUCUACUAAUAAAUUAAAGGAUGAAUGUUGGACUUCGUUGACCAACA